rfam:Enterococcus gilvus ATCC BAA-350 genomic scaffold acEQl-supercont1.2, whole genome shotgun sequence.
CUAUAACCUUGUUAGGUGAGGCGUCUAUACAAACACAGGCUAUUGCGCAGAAACGUCGAAAGACGCCAAUGUGUAAAACAGGAAUUGUCGAAUUAAGGCUUUUCUAAACAUAGCUAAGAAUUUUCUUUACGUUGUAUAGUGCCAAAACUCAGACGAUGAGAGGACAGUA